rnacentral:rRNA from 1 species
GACGAACGCUGGCGGCGUGCUUAACACAUGCAAGUCGACAUUAGUGGCGAAGCGGUGGGUAAUGUGUGGGUAACCUGCCCUCCUUUUUGGGAUAAGCCUUGGCAACGGGGUCUAAUACCGUAUAUAGGGGGAUGGGCUCGCGGCCGAUCCGCUUGUUGGUGGGGUGGUGGACUACCAAGGCGGUGACGGGUAGCCGGCUUGAGAGGGGGACCGGCGACAUUUGGACUGAGAUACGGCCCAGACUCGUACGGGAGGCAGCAGUGGGGGAUAUUGCACAAUGGGCGAAAUCCUGAUGCAGCGACGCCGCGUGGGGGAUGAAGGCUUUCGGGUUGUAAAGCUAUUUCGCUAUCGAAAGGGUAGGUGGAGAAGAAGCGCCGGCUAACUACGUGCCAGCCGCCGCGGUAAUAC